rnacentral:rRNA from 1 species
CCCUUAGAUGUUCUGGGCCGCACGCGUGCUACACUGAGUGGAUCAGCGGGUCAGGUUGCGCGAAAGUGUUUCCUAAUCUUUAAAUCCGCUCGUGAUGGGGAUUGACGGUUGCAAUUUUCUGUCAUGAACGAGGAAUACCUUGUAAGCGCGGGUCAUCAUCCCGCGCUGAAUACGUCCCUGCCCUUUGUACACACCGCCCGUCGCUCCUACCGAUUGAGUGGUCCGGUGAAUAAUUCGGACUGCAGCAGUGUUCAGUUCCUGAACGUUGCAGCGGAAAGUUUAGUGAACCUUAUCACUUAGAGGAAGGAGAAGUCGUAACA